ACCUUUUUAAAUGUAAUCGCAAAAACAAAAUCCUUGCAGCAGCAACGGAAUCAAAAUGCAUUUCAGAGACUGACAUUGUCAUCGUCAUCUUCUUCGUUGCCGGUGUCGAGAAGUUGAAGAAGAAAUGCAUGCAGAUUCAAAGUUAUUCUUUCUGAUGAAAAAAAGACUCUCAUCAAGAACAAUCUAUCAGUUGUGGAUCAUCCCUAACAGAAAUCAAUGUUGAUUCGACAGAAAAAGUAUACCAGAAGAAGCAAAUCUGGAGAGAAAUUGCCAAUGCAAAAAUAUGACGAUGAAUGUAAUGACAAACAAUCCACCAACAAGGUUCGCAAAGUGAUUAAGUAGUAAAAAAAACAUGAGUAGGAAAGUCCAUGUUCAACUGUAAUCUGCUAAUUUUAAUUUCAGUUUAUUUUGUAACGAAUACAAGAUCUUUUAGUUAUGAACCAGUACUAUCUUAGAUAUUUGCAUAAUGUAAUGAAAAUAUGUGUGGUUGUUUCGUGAUUGUUUCACUCCAGAAACUAAAAAAAAUUUCAUGUACGACUAAAAUAGAAUGUCUUCACAAUCCAUUAUAUACAAUUAGUUUCUUUGAUAAUACCUAAACACAAGUAAUUUUUUAAUUAUAUUUAACAACCAAGAGAAAUAAAUAUUUUCAUUGUUUAUCACAGAAGAAAUACCACCAAGAACAUUCUCAUUUUAGGCAAACUAUAAGCACUUUCCAGCGACAAAAUGAAUAUGUUAUCAUCCUACAAGAAUCAAAACAGGAUUAAGGAAAAUCACAACAUGGACAAAAAACUGAUAAGUAAAAACGACAUACAACUUUAAUUAAAGGAAA